AGAGUUUGAUCCUGGCUCAGGACGAACUCUUGCGGCGUGCUUAAUACAUGCAAGUCGAGCGAGGUUACUACCUCAAAGUCCUUCGGGAUGGCGAAGUUUUAACCUAGCGGCGGACGGGUGAGUAACGCGUGGGUAACCUACCCUGAAGUUCGGGAUAACAGUUGGAAACGAUUGCUAAUACCGAAUGGUCUUAUUUUUUGGCAUCAAAGAAUAAGUAAAGGAUACGCUUCAGGAUGGACCCGCGUCCCAUUAGCUAGUUGGUGAGGUAAUAGCUCACCAAGGCGACGAUGGGUAGCCGGCCUGAGAGGGUGGACGGCCACACUGGGACUGAGACACGGCCCAGACUCCUACGGGAGGCAGCAGUGGGGAAUAUUGCGCAAUGGGGGAAACCCUGACGCAGCGACGCCGCGUGAGCGAAGAAGGCCUUAGGGUCGUAAAGCUCUGUUUUAAGGGACGAAUAUCCUCAGUAGUAACUGACUGGGGAAUGACGGUACCUUAAGAGAAAGCCCCGGCUAACUACGUGCCAGCAGCCGCGGUAAGACGUAGGGGGCGAGCGUUGUCCGGAAUUACUGGGCGUAAAGAGCACGUUGGCGGGAUUUUAAGUCAGGUGUGAAAGACCGUGGCUCAACCACGGGGUUGCACAUGAAACUGGAAUUCUUGAGGGCAGGAGAGGAAAGUGGAAUUCCUGGUGUAGCGGUGAAAUGCGUAGAAAUCAGGAGGAACACCGGUGGCGAAGGCGACUUUCUGGACUGACCCUGACGCUGAGGUGCGAAAGCGUGGGUAGCAAAGAGGAUUAGAUACCCUGGUAGUCCACACUGUAACCCCUAAAAGGUCGCUGUCGGCGAUCCACAGUCGGUGGCCCAAGCGAAAGCAUUAAGUUAUCCACCUGGGGAGUACGACCGCAAGGGUGAAACUCAAAGGAAUUGACGGGGGCCCGCACAAGCGGAGGAACAUGUGGUUUAAUUCGAUGAUACGCGAGGAACCUUACCCGGGCUCGAACGGUGCAUGAAUAUACGAGAGAUUGUAUAGUCCUUCGGGACAUGUAUCGAGGUGCUGCAUGGUUGUCGUCAGCUCGUGCCGUGAGGUGUCGGCUUAAGUGCCAUAACGAGCGCAACCCUUGUCAUUAGUUGCCAUCAGGUCAAGCUGGGGACUUUAAUGAGACUGCCACCGUAAGGUGUGAGGAAGGGGGGGAUGACGUCAAAUCAGCACGGCCCUUAUGUCCGGGGCGACACACGUGUUACAAUGGGAGGUACAGAGGGCAGCUAUCCGGUGACGGAAUGCUAAUCUCCAAAACCUUUCUCAGUUCGGAUUGGAGUCUGCAACUCGACUCCAUGAAGGUGGAUUCGCUAGUAAUCGCGCAUCAGCCAUGGCGCGGUGAAUACGUUCCCGGGCCUUGCACUCACCGCCCGUCAAG
rnacentral:rRNA from 1 species